rnacentral:rRNA from 1 species
UACGUAGGUGGCGAGCGUUAUCCGGAUUUACUGGGUGUAAAGGGAGCGUAGACGGCAUGGCAAGUCAGAUGUGAAAGCCCGGGGCUCAACCCCGGGACUGCAUUUGAAACUGUCAGGCUGGAGUGCAGGAGAGGUAAGCGGAAUUCCUAGUGUAGCGGUGAAAUGCGUAGAUAUUAGGAGGAACACCAGUGGCGAAGGCGGCUUACUGGACUGUAACUGACGUUGAGGCUCGAAAGCGUGGGGAGCAAAUAGG